rnacentral:rRNA from 1 species
CUCUUCUUGAUUAAUUAGGAAGUAUAACCUGCCCAAUGAUAAUUUUAAUGGCCGCAGUAUACUGACUGUGCAAAGGUAGCAUAAUCAUUAGUCUUUUGAUUGGGGGCUGGAAUGAAUGGUUGGACGAGAUAAUAACUAUCUUAAUUUAAUUUAUUUUGAAUUUAAUUAUUAAGUAAGAAAGCUUAAAUAAUUUUUUGGGACGAGAAGACCCUAUAGAGUUUAAUAUUUUUUUUUAUUUUACUGUAUUUGUUAAAAAAAGAUUUUGAAAAAUAUUUUGUUGGGGUGAUGUAGAGAUAUUUAAAACUCUUUUUAUAAACUAUUUAUAUAUUUAUAUAUAAUUGAUCCACAAUUGGUGAUUAUAAGACUAAAUUACCUUAGGGAUAACAGCGUAAUUUUAUUUGAGAGUUCAUAUCGACAAUAAAGAUUGCGA